AAAUAAGCCAGCAACAGGAUUCCAUUUUUCUAAGCAUCGAACAAGAACCUGAAGAUGUAGUAGAGAAAGAGAAACUUGAUGUCAAUGGACUAAAAGAAAAUGUAAGCACCUCGGAAUCCUUUAAUCUAUUGAUGGCGCCACCAAUGGAAGUCCAUGACGCUCACGAAGCGGAAAAGCAAGAGGAGGUGCUAGACUUACCUCCAAGAGAACACCAGGAAUGCGAGAAGGCAUUUUCUUUUGAGCGACUGCUCAUUUUUGGAAUUUUAUUUAUUAUUAGCAUCAUUAUAUUCUACGUGACAAUCACAUCAGACUGAAGGUUUCAGGACCAAAUAUGUAACGUAUAACAAAGCCUAACAACAUGACAGUAAGCAACAGAUCAGGCAAUGUUAAGGAACAGAUAACAGAUGCAGAUGGUGCAAAAAAAUUAAAGAAGGGUGGUGGGAAGUGGAUAAAAGUUUUUUUGCGAAUCUUUCAAAAGAUUCACGAAACGGCGAAAAUGUCGCACGUCAAAAAAUAUUGUCGCCUGCGGCUAUUCUUUUGUCGUCCGCGGCUAUUCUUUUGUCGCCCACGGUUAUUCUUUUGUCGCCCGCAGUUAUUAUUUUGUCGCCCGCGGCAAAUUUUUCCGCGGCUAAUUCUUUCAUCCGUUUUGCGAAACAAUCCGCCAAUGGCGAAACGCAGAAAUUAACCGAAUCCAUGCCUGGUGAAACAUUUCGGCCAUCACUACAGAUGAUGCAAAAAAAUUAAAGAAGGGUGGUGGGAAGUGGAUGAAAGUUAACAGUUCAUGUGAAAAUUCAGGAGAGCUGAACGUUGGCAUUGCCCUCCAACCUAAGAAGAGGAUAGUUAUUUUACUCAAAAACCAUUCAGACAAGAGAAGAAAGCAUUUAAAGGAAAAUUAAACCCAAGUUUUUAAAAUGUUUUUAAAAGAUUUGCCACAUGUCCCUCUCCUGAACCGCCGUAAUGAAACUUCUCCUGCUUACUUACUAUUUGUGCACCGCGCUGGAGUUAUUUUCAGCCGCAUCGUUUCUUGCGGCGGCCAUCUUUUUACCGAUCGCGUCACUUCCUUCUAGCUUCUAACAUCAGCGCUGGCCUGGGGAAAUCUGGAGAGCUGUGUGAGCAUGCGCUUGGCUUGGGGGAGUGAAAGUGCGCGUGCGUACGCCCUAAUCUCACUUCAUUAUGUGGCAAAAGCUGGAAUCUUUUAUAGGAGUGUACAGUAUUUUUUACUUUGAUUUAUUAUUGCUGGAAUGGAGGAAGUCUACUGCAGGAAAGCUAAUGGAAAGUAGCUCUUCAUGUAAAGGGCAACAAGCUGAGCUUAAUUUGUAAAUAGGGUUUAGUUCUCCUUUAACAAUGCUAAACGUAGAAGCAAGGCUAAUUCAGCUGAACGAAGCCACAACAUUCCAGUGAUCUAAUGACUGUCCGUAAUCUGAGGUAAGAAUUUUUAUUCAUCUGUGUAAUGUACUAGGAACCAGUGCGAGACCGCUAGAUGUAAAAUCUGACUCUUACGGUAAAGCAGGAACUCCCAGCCCUUCCCGGUCUUCACCGACGCCCUUUUGGGGCCCCUGAACUUUCUGCUGCUGUCCAAGCUGGGGUCCUGCAAACUUUCAGAGUACAGAUGAAAAUACAAGGUACCGGCAAGGUUUAGGCAAAAUCGUAGUCGGUGUACAGGCAAAAGUCGAGGCGGGCACCUAGAAACGUAGUCAGGAACCAUUUUUACAAUUACUCCAGAAAUCUUAUUGGUGUCUGGGUUAAUAUGGUCAUUAAUCUAUAGACAGAAGAACUGAGGCUUCUAGUAGACUGACCCAAAAUGGUCUGAAGUGGUCAUGUGACCACAGUGCAUUAGUUCAGUUAUAUUCACUUUUUUAUGGAAGCAGUCUUUGAGUUGUUCCAAAACCAUUAUGUUGCCUAAAUUUGUAUUUUUGAUACCUCCAGUGAGCUCAGUAAUAAGGAGAUGCUGAAGUGGGUGCAGGGAGAAGUGGAGACAUUGCAAGGAAAAAGUGGAGCCAGUAGGGGAGGGAAGAUUUGUGCGGCAACCAAGUCUAAGUAUCCGAGGAGGCAGAAAGGAAGAAAAUUAAAGUCAAUGGCUCCAAUGAAGCGUUACAAGUUACACAGUCAUUUAAGUUAUUCAAUAAAGAGAGACUUGCUAUAUA